rnacentral:rRNA from 1 species
UACGGAGGGGACUAGCGUUGUUCGGAAUUACUGGGCGUAAAGCGCACGUAGGCGGAUUUGUAAGUCAGGGGUGAAAUCCCGGGGCUCAACCUCGGAGCUGCCUUUGAUACUGCAAAUCUCGAGUCCGGAAGAGGUGAGUGGAAUUCCUAGUGUAGAGGUGAAAUUCGUAGAUAUUAGGAAGAACACCAGUGGCGAAGGCGGCUCACUGGUCCGGUACUGACGCUGAGGUGCGAAAGCGUGGGGAGCAAACAGG